rnacentral:tRNA from 1 species
CGGGGUGUGGCUCAGUUUGGCUAGAGCGCCUGGUUUGGGACCAGGAGGUCGCAGGUUCAAAUCCUGUCACCCCGA